rnacentral:sRNA from 1 species
UUUUUUUUUUGAAUACUAAGAGAUUUUGGGCCGAAUGCCAUAAUCAUAAUAAUCCUAAUGUAUUUUUUUUUCCUUACGCUCCAUCUAAUGUUACUUACUCUUGAUGAUUAGAAAUUUGCUAAAAAAAACGUUUCUAAACACAUACUAUGAUGUCAAAAUGAGUCAAUCCCACGCAUGAUUAAUUAAUUGGGGUUUACUUUAAUCCAGAUUUUUUUCUUUUUUUUUGGUGUAAAACUUUGAUUCAGAUUAUGCAAACCAAGUAGUAGUACUACUACAUGUAACUAUUUAGCCAUUUAUUCGUUUUAAAUUUUUUUUU